rnacentral:rRNA from 1 species
CCUACGGGAGGCAGCAGUGGGGAAUAUUGGACAAUGGGCGCAAGCCUGAUCCAGCAAUGCCGCGUGUGUGAAGAAGGCCUGCGGGUUGUAAAGCACUUUAAGCAGGGAAGAAGGGGCAGGAGUUAAUACCUUCUGUCAUUGACGUUACCUGCAGAAUAAGCACCGGCUAACUCCGUGCCAGCAGCCGCGGUAAUACGGAGGGUGCGAGCGUUAAUCGGAAUUACUGGGCGUAAAGCGCGCGUAGGCGGUUGGCUAAGUUUGCUGUGAAAGCCCCGGGCUUAACCUGGGAACUGCAGUGAAUACUGGUCAGCUAGAGUAUGGUAGAGGGUAGUGGAAUUUCCGGUGUAGCAGUGAAAUGCGUAGAGAUCGGAAGGAACACCAGUGGCGAAGGCGGCUAUCUGGACCAAUACUGACGCUGAGGUGCGAAAGCGUGGGGAGCAAACAGGAUUAGAUACCCCUGUAGUC